AAGUUCCAUUCAAUAUAUUCAAGUUUCCAUUGAAUAUUCUCAAGUUCCAUUCAAUAUAUUCAAGUUUCCAUUCAAUAUUCUCAAAUUCCAUUCAGUAUAUUCAAGUUUCCAUUGAAUAUUCUCAAGUUCCAUUCAAUAUAUUCAAGUUUCCAUUCAAUAUUCUCAAGUUUCCAUUCAAUAUUCUCAAGUUUCCAUUCAAUAUAUUCAAGUUUCCAUUCAAUAUAUUCAAGUUUCCAUUCAA